CUCCUCUCAAUGUAUAAAAACUCUAGGCUGUCCUGUGAGAACAGAGGAUGUAACUUCAGAGAAGCUGUCACCAUGAAUCAGGCUGCACCUGACUUGAAGAAACCUUCCGGGUUCUGACAUGUUGCAAGCGUUUCAUGCAACUGAAACUCUUAUUUGCUGAACAGAUAUCAGAGCACCACAAGCAGGACUUUAAAAAGAAGUCAUGGGAACGACAAUUACUGGAAAAUAACUGGCUGCCUCAUCUUUGGCUUAGGUGGUUUCAGUAUUGUUGAAUUCUCGUCUGUUUCAGAGCAAACCAAGGGAGUCUUCCAUUGAUGCAAGAUUUAAGGAUAUUGCCAAACUUGGUUUUGAGGACUUCUCCACAGCUAUCCAGGGCUACUAGAACAUCCCAACUGACUAGCACUCAGAGGACAUAAGAGAGACAAAAAAAAUUUCUGGCAUCUCAAAUGAACCUGCAGCCCACCCAGUGUGAAAUCCUCAAGAAGCAUGCUUUUAACUCAGCAAGUUGUGAACAUUCAUUUCGUUUAUUUAUUCAUGAACUCAUUCACUGAAUA